rnacentral:rRNA from 1 species
GACGAACGCUGGCGGCGUGCUUAACACAUGCAAGUCGAACGAAGUGGCGAACGGGUGAGUAACGCGUAAUCAACCUGCCCUUCAGAGGGGGACAACAGUAGGAAACGACUGCUAAUACCGCAUACUGAAGGAGGGGAUUGCGUCUGAUUAGCAAGUUGGAGGGGUAAUGGCCAACCAAGGCGCGGAUCAGUAGCCGGUCUUAGAGGAUGAACGGCCACAUUGGGACUGAGACACGGCCCAGACUCCGACGGGAGGCAGCAGUGGGGAAUCUUCCGCAAGGGACGAAAGUCUGACGGAGCAACGCCGCGUUAGUUAUGACGGCCUUCGGGUUGUAAAGCUCUGUUAAUCGGGACGCGGUACCGGAAUAGAAAGCCACGGCUAACUACGUGCCAGCAGCCGCGGUAAUUC